rnacentral:rRNA from 1 species
UGGGGAAUUUUGGACAAUGGGGGAAACCCUGAUCCAGCCAUCCCGCGUGUGCGAUGAAGGCCUUCGGGUUGUAAAGCACUUUUGGCAGGAAAGAAACGUCGCGGGUUAAUACCCCCGCGAAACUGACGGUACCUGCAGAAUAAGCACCGGCUAACUACGUGCCAGCAGCCGCGGUAAUACGUAGGGUGCAAGCGUUAAUCGGAAUUACUGGGCGUAAAGCGUGCGCAGGCGGUUCGGAAAGAAAGAUGUGAAAUCCCAGAGCUUAACUUUGGAACUGCAUUUUUAACUACCGGGCUAGAGUGUGUCAGAGGGAGGUGGAAUUCCGCGUGUAGCAGUGAAAUGCGUAGAUAUGCGGAGGAACACCGAUGGCGAAGGCAGCCUCCUGGGAUACAACAUGCUGCUCAUGCACGAAAGCGUGGGGAGCAAACAGGAUUNGAUACCCUGGGUAGUCCACGCCCUAAACGAUGUCAACUAGCUGUUGGGGCCUUCGGCCUUGGUAG